UAAGAGGUUGCUCUAGGAUCCCAUGGCCCAGCUGUCCCAGGUUUGUAACAUGAUAUUUUCUUCCCACAGCAGAAAAAGGACCGAGCUACUCUCAUGCUGCACGCAAUGACAGUAUUCAGGGCUCUGAUUCGUCUCUAAUGGCUCCUAAAGUGUGAGACCCGCUGCCCCUCAGGGACUAAUACAGGAUCUGUUCACACUUGGUGCCAUCGAGAUCCCCUGACUUUCUGCAGAUGGUGUCAGAAUGUGUCUGCGUUCCUAUUAGCAUAUUGUGAGGACGCAGGAGACUGGCCCCCCCUGCCCUCCAUGACCCCUCCCCGUACUGAUUUGUGUUCCCUUUCUGACCUGCUUUCCUGUUCCAGCUGAGGAGGGGUGGACCAUCUCCAUCCCCGUCUUUUUUUCAUGUUGGACUGAGUACUGAUGCUUUACUUUCCUAUUGAAAAUGAGAAUCCAGAUAUUAAUUUAUGUUUUGUAAUUCUUGGUAUGUGGGCAUGAUGAGGUAAUAAAAGAGAGGAUUUGUAUGGUUGGAACAGAAAAUAAAUGAAAGCGCUGAGAACCU